AUUGAACGCUGGCGGCAGGCCUAACACAUGCAAGUCGAGCGAGCGGCGGACGGGUGAGUAAUGUCUGGGAAACUGCCUGAUGGAGGGGGAUAACUACUGGAAACGGUAGCAAAUACCGCAUACCAUCAGAGGUGCCCAGAUGGGAUUAGCUAGUAGGUGGGGGAACGGCUCACCUGGGCGACGAUCCCUAGCUGGUCUGAGAGGAUGAGCAGCCACACUGGAACUGAGACACGGUCCAGACUCCUACGGGAGGCAGCAGUGGGGAAUAUUGCACAAUGUGCGCAAUCCUGAUGCAGCCAUGCCGCGUGUGUGAUGAAGGCCUUCGGAUUGUAAAGCACGUUCAUCGGGGAGGCGUUACCCGCAGAGGAAGCACCGGCUAACUCCGUGCCAGCAGCCGCGGUAAUUC
rnacentral:rRNA from 1 species